rnacentral:tRNA from 1 species
AGUAGGGUAGCCUAGUGGACAUGGCAUCUGCCCGGUAAGCGGAACACUGUGGGUUCGAUUCCCAUUCCUGGACACUU